GUCAGCUCCGAACAGACAACCUGCUGCGCUAGUUUAGUUAGUGCAUUCUUACUUCAAUUUUUUAAAAAAGAGUUUAUUUGUAAAUCACCUACAUAUGGGGUGAGCCUGAAUGAAGAGGGAAGAAGAUACUGACAAAGACAUUGUGGAAAAAACAGAUCGUUGAGGCUUUAACUUGAUGAAAAAUUGAUGAAAAGCCAUCAGUGGAUUCAUUGCUGUUUCUAGGUACAUCAUAAAGUUUUUAACACAACCUGCUGACAUGUUUGAUGUAAGUCCUUUUUAUUGGCAAAUUUAUAACUUUUUCUUGAGGUAUUUAUGUGCAAUAAUAAAAGAAUUGUUGCCUCUAAUCACUUACCAAGGAAUUUAGCGUGCAACCUAUGUGAGAGAAACUCAUUUUUGAAUGUAAUCUGAGUCCUGACAUGAGAUUAUAACGUCAAAGUUGCUUCCAUCUGUACAUUUGCAACAAUUGUUCAUUCAAAUUCAGCUGCUGAACAGAUAUUUCAGUGACUUUGCCUUAGUUAAGUGGUAAACACUUUAUUUGUGGGAAAUAUUGUAAUUAGCUUUGAGUUACAUGGAAAUGACUCUCUUUGUUCAUAUGCACAUUUUAUUUGAUACUU